AGACCCUUCAAGCAUUGCUUGGUGUUGGGCUUGGUCCUUAGGGGACCCGCCCGUAACUCGUAGGCGACCAUCGGUGGCUCCCCCAGCGUAGCAGGCUAACGCACUCGCUUGGGGACAACCUGUAUGGCCCGCCCAAAUUUUUUACCUCAAG
rnacentral:misc_RNA from 1 species